GUGCUCACGUCAGCAGCCCAUAAACUAAAAUUGGAAUGAUACAGAGAAAAUGAGCAUGGCCCCUGCACAAGGAUGACAUGCAAAUUCGUGAAGCACUCUAUUUUUAC
rnacentral:snRNA from 1 species